UACAGAGGUCUCAAGCGUUGUUCGGAUUCAUUGGGCGUAAAGGGUGUGUAGGUGGCGCGCUAAGUCGGGUGUGAAAUUUCGGAGCUUAACUCCGAAACUGCAUUCGAUACUGGCGUGCUUGAGGACUGGAGAGGAGACUGGAAUUCAUGGUGUAGCGGUGAAAUGCGCAGAUAUCAGGAGGAACACCGGUGGCGAAGGCGGUGGGCUGGGCCGGAACUGACGCUGAGGAGCGAAAGCGUGGGGGAGCAAACAGG
rnacentral:rRNA from 1 species